CACGUGAGGCUGGAGCUACCUGAAAUCUGCAGGCUAAUCACUCCCAGAUGGCCCUGGGGAUGUCCCUCCCCUACCCCUCCUCCCGGAAGAGGGUGGGGGUGGGCUUUAAAGGGACAGUGGGAGGGAAAUGAACGUCCGUGGAGGUGUGGUGCCCGCAACUUUGGGGACCACCACCCUGACACAGCUCCCCAAACAAAAUCACCCAGCUUGGCCCCUGCCCCUAGGCCAAACUGUGCUUUCUCUGGAAGAAGCAGGCUGAGGCAGAGGAGGAGGAGGAAGGGAGAAACGCCCCCUUCAGGACAGAGCCCUGCCUUGGCUUGGGGGUGGGGUGCACUGGGCGGAGCUCGUUCCAAGAGGUAUUUAUUUCCUUAUUAAAUGUCAGACGUGCCACAGCGCUUUGCUGCUUCUGGGUAAAACCCGGGGCUGAGCUGCGUGGAGUGGUGCAUGCAGGGCAGGGAUCAGGAAUCUGGGUUCCCUUCCAGUCCCGGGGUGGGGGCAGUCAGCCCGUGUGGGAAACGCAACCAGCUGGCCAGACCUGGCCACCGUCUGCUCAGAGCCUGGGUUCUCCUUGCUUUGUCUGUGUCAUGGCCUGUGUCCCUCUCCUUCCAAAGCCAGCCUGUGCCUGGACUUCCCAUGGAUCUAUACAGUUCUCUCUCCCGCCAGUGGCCACCCAUGCACACAGCACAGAGUCACUUGGUCAUACAGAGGAGUCCUAGGAACAUCCACCUGUCCCCACCUCCCUGUCAUUCUCACACGCAUGCAUGCACGCGUGUGCACACACACACACACACACGUCACCCUAAAGCCCACAUACUCCUCUGCUCCAUGCCUUGCCAUCUGUUGCUGAAAACAAUCAUUCCUUGCUAAUGACUGUUCCUUGCGUCUACUCAUCAACUCUGUUCCCUGGAUAGCUCUUGGAGGCCGCGCAGGGGAAGGAAAUCACCCUCCUUGCUGCUCACGGAAAGAAACAGAAGCCUGAAAAGAGUGCGGCGCGGGCUCAAGGUCACGCAGUUAAUGGGGGAGGCAGAUCUCGGGAGCCCGCGUCCUGGGGGCCGCGCCUGCCAGCCCCGUCCACCAUGCACACGUGGAAUUCCACACGCAGCUGUGACAACAGAGGCCAGCGCAUCCAACGGCCCCACGCCUCCGCAUUCCGAUUGUUCUCGUGCAGGCCCUGGCUCUUGUUCUGGGCCGUGUGCAGGGAGUUGGGGGGACUCCCCUCUUUUGUGAAGCGUCUCCUCCCUUCUGCCCUAAUCAGAGUUUGGCUGCCUUUGUCUCGGAAGAGAAGAGAACAAAGUGUGACUUGAACCGUGCACAUUGUACGGGCCCUCUAUUCUUCCCGUUUCCUUUUUGUGGGAACCUCUCCGGCUCUGCAGGAAUGGCCCAUGGGUUCAUUUUUGUUUCGGAGCCACGGUCCUGCUUAAUUGUACCGUGGUGUGUGUUGGGGUUUCUUUGCUCCUUGUGUUAGAUGGUAGCCUUUUCGUAUCUUGAGCUGGGCUUGUUCAGAUUUAUGGAAUUAUUUCACCCUGCAAAGCCGAAGUAGGAUGCCACCACCCCCUUAAAGCUGGCCGGGUCCUCGCCAUUUGGGACGUGCAGGGGCCUCUGUUAUCAACCCGAUCCUUUUCAGCUGUGCAGGGCAUUUAUUAAUGAGAGGCAGUGUUUGCCGAGGACAUGUGUGUUGGCAGUCUGGUAAGGGCUUUGCUUGGAUGGAUCACUUGUGUCCCCCCGUCAUGCCCCCAGAAAAACCUUUCAUGGGAGUUAUUUUUUGCCUCAUUUUACACAUGGGAAAACAGUGUUAGAGUGGUGAAUUUGUUUCACAAAUCUCACCUUUCUAGGUGUUAAGGGAGAGAAAAGUACCAUGAACAACAAGAUCGAAGCAAGAGAGCAGUAGCUACCAAGGCUUCGGUGCUUACGGGCAAAGAACUCAAUUUCCCACCAAAACCAGAUGGACUGUGUUGCCGUCGUCUCUAGCCUGCACGGGAGGGAACGGUAUUUGCCCGUGGCCUGGCUUCUUGUUCGUCUUGCCUGGUUUCCGUAGUGUUAAUUCGCAUGUAGGGAUGACAGUGGAGGAGAAAGGCUGGGGAGGCGGGAGGGACCGCAGAGUUUCUAAAUCGUGGUGGCUGCUUUGCGUUUUGCAUGAGCUGUGGCUGCAGUGGCCUCUGGAUCGUUUCGUGUGGUCUCUGCGCUUCCUUCUUCCCAACCGCCCAGACCUCCCAAUUGCCCCCAAUCCUGAAAGACCAUGCCACAUUCUUUUUUUUUUUGGGGGGGGCAUGGAAAUCCAGCUUAGAAUCCUCUGGCUCAAACCAGCUUUGAAGGAGGACACAUUUCAGUUGCGUAGCAAGUAAUGGUGGUUACAGCUCGGUCACCAUAGUGAAUGGGAGGAGGGUUUGCCGGCCUGGUUUAAGACAAGAGACAGCUGCAGAGCACCAGGGUGUUGAGACCUGGCCGAGACCAGGGGGACAGAAGGAAGCCUCCCCUGAUCAUUUUGGUGUCAUUUUGUCAAGCUGUUUGCUGCACAGAAGAGCCAGCUCAGGGCUCAGCUGGGCUCAGACUUUCCAUUUCUGGCAAUUACUUCUGUAGUUGGUUGGGAAGUGCAAGCCAUAGGGUGAGGACAGUUACUAAGGACUUUGUCUUCCGAGUGGCUUUGACCUUCCUGAUUCUGAAGACAACCAACCAAAGAUGGAAACUAUUUGGACAAAAGUGCAUUUGUCUUAGACAAUACAGUUUAUCCUCUGAACAAUGUAGUAUAUAACAACUAUUAGUGUAGCAUGCACAUUGAAUUAACUGUCAUCAAUGAUCUAAAGGUGAUUUAGGGGCUGGCAUUGUGGUGCAGUGAGUUAAGCUGUCACCUACAAUGCCCUCUUCCCAUAAUGGAGCACCAGCUAGAGUCCUGGCUGCUCCACUUCCAAUCCAGCUCCUUGCUAAUGUACGUGGGAAAGCAGCGGGAGAUGGCCCAAGUAGUUGGGAAACUGUGACCCAUAUGGGAGACCUGGAUGGAACUCCAGGCUCUUAGCGUUGUCCUGGAUUGGUCCUGGACCAUCGUGGCCAUCUAGGGUGUGAAUCAGAGGAUGGAAGAUCUCUCUCUCUCUUGCUACCUCUAUCUCUAAUCUAUCUCUAUCUCUCUACCCCCGACUCUCUCUUUCAAAUAAAUAAAUAAAUCAAAGAAUACAGAUGACAAUGCAUUCAGGAAGGUGUGUGUAGGUGAAAUACUACACUAUUUUCUUAAGGGGCUUGGGCGUCUGUGGAUCUCUGGGUCUGCAAAGUUUCUGGAGCUGCUCCCCAUGGAGACGGAGGACUUCAAGGAAAGGACAACAGGUGGGGGCAUUCAGCUUGGCAGUUAAGACCCCCUGGUCGCCAUAUUGCAGGAGCUAGACUCCAUGCCCACCUCCGACGCCGGGCUCUAGCUUCCUGUCAUGCAGAACAGCGAUGGCUCAGGUGAUUGGGCUCCUCCCACCCAUGUGUUCCUGGCUCCUGGCUUUGGCCCCGGCCCAACCCCAACUGUCCUGGUCAUUUGGGAGAGUGAACUAGUAGAUGGGAACUCUUUCUCUCUAUGCCUCUCAAAUAAAUAAACAAAAAUGUAAAAUGAUACUAAAAAGUUAAAAAAGGAAGGACACAGAUCAGUUAGUUCACUUGCACGCUUGAUAACCUAGCGCAGAUCCCUCUUAGGGAGGCUGGGGGAUCAGAACAAGGACUCUUGCCUCUGGGAAAGUCCAGUGCAGCCGUUCAACGACAGGGCCGUCUUAGAAGGGGUGCAUCUUCGUUUUCGGGCCCCGGCUCUGUGCAGUGGGACUAUUCCAGUCUGCCAACCCCAGCGCCACUUUCUUAGCCCAAGCCCUGGUCCGUGUGGCCUUUGGCGAGGCGGUGCCACUUUAGGACCCGAGUAAAAAAAAAGAGAGAGCAACACGGUCGUGCCACAUAGCUGGACGGUCUCGGAUGCCUCCCCCACGUCUGACACUGGUCGCAGUUGUGUUCGAAGUCUGUGGCUGUGAGGGUUUCCAUGGCUACCCUAAAGUGCUUUGUGUAUUGGAAACUGUGAAUAAAAAGGUAAGAGGGGUGGGGAGGCUGACCAUCAAGCUCACCCAAGCCCUCAACCUCAGACUCCUGGAAGGCGUCAGCGCCAUUGAACAGCCCCAGACGGCAAACAUCCCCCAUGGCCAAGGACAUGUUUCCAAAGGCACUGGGCUUCUGCCCGUGAUGGAAGCCUUGGCUGCUCCCAGUCCACUGAGGAGUGGAGAUCCUUUAAAAGUAAUGGAAAGCAGGACACGUUCCCCUUGCUGCCCCGUCUGAGGCCUGAGCUCCGGGCGGAUGCUGCUGGCUGGUCCCCGUGCUGAUAGCAGCCUCCCUCGGGGCAGCUGCCACCUCUCCCACCAGCGCUUAUCUGGGUGAGCAGGGAGCCCUACCUUUCAGAUUCCCCUCACUUUCUGAAAGAAGGCAUUGUUAUUGUCUCCAAGCCGCCCCAGCUGGGAACAAAGGCGGAUUCUGGGUCUUCUUUCCACAAGAUGGGGCUGAAUUGGCAUUCCUUGAAGAUAGCUUAUUAUAGUCCAUUUCUGCUAACAAUUACCCGACCAUGUAGGGACGGGAUGGGAUUCCUGUAGGGUGUUGUUGAGUUUUCCUUUUCUCAUUUGCUUAUUUUGGUGGAGACUUAAAAAAAAAAAAGUGGUACAUCCUUGGAGUAUAGAUUUAGACAGGACUCGUGUAUUUUUAUCUGCGACAUAUGCGGAAAUCUCACUAGACAAUCAUUAUUUUAUACAGGUGUGUGUGUGUGUGUGUGUGUGUGAGCAUGUGUGUGUGCUUUCACAGACAGGAAAAAAAUUGGGGGUUUUUAUUUCUUUUUCUAACUUCUUGAGAACCAGAUAGGGAGAAAAAUAGUGAGUUACUGAACUCUGGCAGCACGGGUGUGGAGAGCAUGGUGGGAUGUUUCACGAGUGAAUCUAUUUUGCGUGUUAUCUGGUCUGAGCAAAUGCUUUAUGCAUGAUUGUCGGCCGGCGCUGUGGCGCAGUAGGCUAAGCUUUCUGCUGUGGCGCCGGCAUCCCGUGUGCACGCCGGUUCCUAGACUGGCUGCUCCUCUUCUGGUUCAGCUCUCUGCUUAUGGCUUGGAAAAGCAGCGGAAAAUGGCCAAGUGCUUGGGCCCUUGCACCCAGGUGGGAGGCCUGGAAGAAGCUCCUGGCUUCAGAUUGGCCUAGCUCUGGCUGUUGUGGCCAUUUGGAGAGUGAACCAGUGGAUGGGAGACCUUUCUCUCUGUCUCUCCCUCUCUCUGUCUGCAACUGUGCCUGCAGGUAAAUAAAUACAAUCUUUUAAAAAAAAUGUAUGCUUGUGACAGAGAAUUGCAUCUGCUUGCCUUGAUGUGUUUUAAGUAAAAGGAAUUCUCGACUCUGCUGGAAUUGGUCAAAUAGGAGUAAAAUGUUGUUAUUGUAGGUUUGGGAGAUUGGGCGGUUCAGGCUCUCAUGUUGCAGUGCCUAAGCAGAUGGCCAGGAUGUUUGGUGAGACCUAUAAGCUGAUUUUUGUUAUUGCAAUACAACCUCCAUGGAUGUUUCAGUUCAUAAUGCUCAGACCACUGAGGCCCCGGAAAUACGUUGUGUGGCUGUCUGUAAAACAUGUCACUUUUGGGGCCUGCACUGUGGCUUAGUGGGUUAAAUUGUUGCAUGUAGUGCCAGGAUCUCAUAUAGGUGUUGGUUUGGGGUCCCAGCUGCUCUACUUCUGAUCCCUGCUAAUGCACCUGGGAAAGCAGCAGAGGAUGGCCAAGUGCUUGGGCCCCUGCACCCACGUGAAGGACCCAGAAGAAGCUCCUGGCUUUGGUUUGGCCCAGUCCUGGCUGUUGCAGCCAUUUGGGGAGUGAACCAGUAGAUGAAAGUAUUCUGUCUCUCUCUGCCUCUGCCUCUCUUUCCUCUCCAUAACUCCACCUUUCAAAGAAAUAAACAAACCUUAAAAAGAAUGUCAUUUUCCAACCGGCCAAUUUUCUGUGUUAAAAUGAGAAGUUGUCUUGUCUGAGCAUCUCUGGCCGGGCAGGCUGCCUUGGCUCAGGCCUGCUUGGGAUUCUGGCCUCCUCUGCAGUAAGGGCUGGAUGUAAAAAGCCAAUCCAAACCAAACACCUGACACUCCCAGCAUCGUCCUUCCCUGAGACCUGCUUGUGUGGGCGAGGCAUUGCGGCUGGAAUCGGCAGGUCCCUCAGUGCCCUGCCUGGUGACAGGUGAGAGCCUCCCUAAAUAACCUUGCACCCUGACGUACCCCAGGAGCCAAGUAGACACCCAGACGUUCCCUGGACAUCAGGAGGUUUGGGUGCUUGGGCUUGGACGGAGGCUGCCUUGGGAGUUAAGAGAGGGAGAAUGUCUCAGGGGCCCUCACGUCCUUGUAGUUCUUUGUAAUGUGAGCCACCUGCCAAACACACUGGAUCCCUUCUCGAUGAGCCUGUAUGUGGUAGCAGUUAGAUAGAUUCGUGGUGGUUUGUUGGUGUCAACCAAAGCCAAGCGCCACCUUCCCCGCACACCCCUCUGCUCCCACCUUCCUGGCUGCCUCUGUCUGGCAGGCCCCACACAUGGAUUUUAAUUUUCAACACUUAGCACCUGACUUCGUGAUCUAAGAUCAUUGACUCAGAAAACAGGAAAGGUCAGUCUGCCUAACACCUCACCCAGCGUCCCGGGAUUAGCAUCCAAAACAAACAGAUCCGAGAUGGGAUGUAGACUCCCAAGAGACGAUUCCCACGUGUGAGAGCGCCUAGGCGAUGGCGUUUCUCAAGCUCACUGACGUCACGGCAGGCUCAUGAUCCAAGGCUUCAGCUCACUCCAGUUGGAGGCUGCAAGGGUUACCCGAAGAACAGGAGAGCUAGGUUGGUGGAUUAGGAAAACCAGCAGGGGAGGGAGAGGAGCUCUUUCUGCUAAUCAAAGGAGAAACCAAAUAGAACGAAUGAAGUCCAAGAAAAAUACAACUCUAUUGUUUUGGGGGCAUAAUAUGCAGGCCUAGAGGCUUCAUUGAGUAAUUCGAGUCACACCCGUCCUCUGUGGGACUGAAGGAAUGUUGGCUCAUUCUCCCCAGGCCAGGUGGGAGGUGGGCAGAUAGCUCUAUGGAGAUGAGCAUUUCUUGGAGCUAGAACUCUCUGAACGUCCCCACAGCCUUGCAGCUGGGAGACUGGGACACAAAGAAGCAGGAAUGCGGUGCUGAAUCGAGGCCAAGGAGCCCCAGCCAUGCAACCAACUCAGAAUCCUCAGAAAAGGGGCCUAAGAAACAGUUUGAACUCCAGCCAGGCCAGUCUGAGUACUGCCGGCAUGAAAAGAUCCAUCUUAAAUUGGCUUAAUACACAUAUGAUUAAUUCUACAUUACGAGUUCAACAAGUAUUAUGAAGAAAAAACAAACAAAAAAAAGCCAAAACUGUUCCUCAACAAUCAAGACAAGGACCUCUCAAGUCAUCCCUUCUCGAAGUGUCAAUAUCACUUCUACAGAUUUUGUUUUCGGUGAAGGUGGUGCAACUCUGGACAUCUCCAAGAGCAACUGCCACAGUCAGCUUUAGGGGACUUCUGACAGCCGGAGGAGCGAUGCCAGGGUGGGAAUCGGCAGCAUCUCCUGAACUGGGAGGCUGUGGCAGAAUAGAGUGCGUCGUUUCCACCAAUGAACAUAAGCCUUCACAGGAGAUGAUUUAACUGUGGUCGGCUUAAUGGCCUUACUUCUUUCCUGCUCUUGCUUUGAAAGGAUGCAGAAAUACGGCAGCUGUUUCAGGGAUUCCAUAAGAAAGAGGAGCUGUCACCAUAGCAAGGUGAUACUGCUGUUGAUAAUGGUUUUGAUGACAUUACUAAUAACAUCAAGCCUUUAUGAAACAAGUACUAUAUGCCAAACCCCAGAGAAGUGAUUGUCAACCAGGAGUGCCUUUACCCUACAGGGCACACAUGGAAAGGUUUGGAGAUUUUUUUUAUCUUAAUGAUGGAGACGGUAAUGGGAAGCCACGGAUGCUGCUACAUAUGCUGCAAUGUUCAGGACAAGACCCAUUCUGCCCCCAACCCCCAUUAAAGAAUUGUCUCACCCAAAAUGUCAUUAGUUUUAAGGAUUCAUAAUUGUGCAUUUGAGGCAUUUAAGCGUAUUUCAAAAAAAUCUAUUUAUUUGAAAAUGAGGGUGGAGUUGGGAGAUGGAGAGAAAAACAGAAAUCUCCCAUCUGCUGGUUCACUUAUUAAAUGCCCACAACAUCCAGGGCUGGACCAGACCAAAUCCAGGAGCUUUGAACUCAAUCCAUGUCUCUCUUGAGUAGCAGGGAGCCAACCAUUGAGCCAUCACCUGAUGCCUUCCAGGGUGUGCAUCAACAGGAAGCUGGAAUUGGAUGAAGCCAGGCAUUGUGACAGGGGCUGCAGGCAUCCCAAGAGGUGACUUAACCACUAGCCAUGUGCUCACCUCUUUGACACAAGUUUAACCUUCAAAUGGCCUUGUGAGGCAUACAGUAUUAUCAUCUCCACUUUAUAAUGAUGGCAUUUAAGUGUAAAGGAACAAGCUCCAGCUGUUUCAACCUUCAAACACUCUCAGGGUUCUUCCUUGCUUCCUUGAGACAACUUUGGUCCCCCUCUGAUUAUUGUGGAACAUCUGGAUUUGUUCAGUGGCUGGGAAGUGGUUCCUUCCAACAUCAGCAUGGCAGUUAUUCAGCUCAACCCAAGCGACCCCCAUUCCUUUCUGGGGUGAUGCUGGCUAACAGCUGGUGGCUGGAGCAAGGGGAGAAGACAUUAUACAGUGUCUACAAAAGUUAUGAAAAGUUGACUUAGCAGCUAAGAUAAGCAACCAGCAAGAUAGAGUGAGAAUCUAUACGGAUAGGAAAAUGUCUCCUAAGCAUAGUUUCUGGAGUUUUCCCUCACGUGCUCUGUUCUUUGUUCCAGUCCUCUGAUAGUGGUGUGGCAUGUGCCGUCGGGAAGACAGAAGCCCUCAUGCCAUGAAAGUCAGAUCAGAAGGCAAUCUCCAGGCUGCAACCUUGUAUAGAAUUAGGUCAUUGGAUUCCCAGAGUGUUGAGUCCUUUGGAAGACAAUUUCUGUUUUUCUUUAUUUCCCUUUUGAUAAAUGCCAAGCUCCUUGUCAAAAUAUUUAUGACUAGAGACAGCAAGAUCAGACAUUUUCUUUUGAAUCAUUUCUCUUGGAUGUUCUGACUACUUCUUGUCUCUUUUUUUCCUCAUCUCAUUUUCUCCAACUUUUUAAAGUUCUUAUUUCCACAUGUUUCUGACAUGUUAUAAGACUUCUCAUCACCCCUGUAAAAUAGAGGUAAGGGAGAGACGAGAAUUGUCUAAAUAAUUAAGAGGUCUACCCUCUUGGGAAAUUUGUGUGGUUGGGGCAAAUGAAAGCAAAGACCUCUUUAAUGUGGUGAAGGCCAACUUAAAAGUCUUUUGUAAAGGUUUUAAGUUAAUUUAUUUAUUGACAGAGAGACAAAAGAGAGAAAAAGUGAGAGAGCGCACUCCCAUCUUCUGGUUCACUCUACAAAAGCCUGCAAUGGUGGAUCGAGGCACCACUGUGACCCAGUGCGUAGAGCUGCUGUCUGCAGUGUCGGCAUCCCAUAUGAGUGCCAGUUCUAGUCCCGGCUGCUCCUCUUCCAACCCAGCUCUCUGCUAUGGCCUGGGAAAGCAGUAGAAGAUGGCCCAAGUCCUUGGGCCACUGCACCCCCCUGGGAGACCUGGAAGCAGCUCCUGGCUCCUGACUCCUGGUUUCAGAUUGGCCCAGCUCUGGCCAUUGCCACCAUUUGGAGAGCGAACCAGCAAAUGGGACACCUCUCUCUCUCUCUCUCUCUCUCUCUCUCUUUCUGCCUCUGCUUCUCUGUAACUUUCAAAUAAAGAAAUUAAUCUUAAAAAAAAGCCUGCAAUGGUUGGGGCUGGCCUGAGUCACCUGGGAGUGGGACACUCAGUCCAGGUCUCCCCCUUGGGUGGCAGGGAGCCAGCUGCUCAGGUCAUCACUGUUCCUCCGAGGGUGCACAUUAGCAGGAAACAGGAACCAGGAGUGAGUGAUGGCUGGAACGCAGGCACUUCGCCGUGAGUUGGGUGUCCGACCUUCAUCUUAACCACUAACCCAAAUGCCUGCUCUCGAAAGUUUGAAAGAUAUAAAUUGAGUACAAAUUCAAAUAUUUUUCCCUAACAAUUUUCAAAAAUCUUCUGUCCUAAUCAGUUGUAUGCUUUGUUUUAUUUCUGGUGCAUAUUUAAAUAUUAUGAUUAUGAUUUAAAUUAGAUGAAUCCAAUGAAAGUCAAAAUACAGGUUAACAAACAUGGUUAAUCAUGAAUUUGGGGCAAAGCCGUGUAUUAUGAGCUGUGACAGGCACUGAGAUGAAUAUGUUAUAUUCAUCUGUUCUGGAGGAACAUGCCAUUUUUCUGGGCAAAAUGAAUAAAAGUGAGGAUAAUUCAAAGAGUUUAUUGAAAAAUGGAAUUAAAAGAUAAGUUUAUUUUGGUGAAAAAUUUUUGAAAUUUAUGCAGUAUUUUUCACAAUACAAAAUUUCCAUGAACUUUAUAAAGAUCCUUUCUCUGCAUGGAUUUCAAUCUUUUUUGCACCAAAAGAAAUGUAACUUUAAAAAAAGAAAUUUAUUUAUUUACUUGAAAGGCAGAAUUAGAGAGAGAGAGGGAGGGAGAGAGAGAGAGAGAGGGAGAGAGAGAGAUUUUCCAUCUGCUGGUUUACUUCCCAAAUGGCUGUAAUAGUCAGGGCUGUACCAGAUGGAGGCCAGGAGCCUGGAACUCCAUCUGGGUAUUCCAAGUGGGUGGUAGGGGCUCACAUACUUGGGCCAUCUCCUGCUGCUUUCCCAGGAUCAUUGUCAGGAAGUUGGAUCAGACAUGGAGCAGCUGGGAGUUGAACUGGCAUCCAUAUAGGAUGCAGGCAUUGCAAUUGGUAGUUUAGCCUGCUAUGCCACAACACUGCCCCCAAGAAACUUAUCUUUUAACUCUAUUUCCCAUGAACUUUUGGAAAUAUCCUUGUAGACAUCGAAUUGCCAGGAUAAUAAGUGUGUAGGUUAUUGAUUGCUCUGUAACAAAAGCUAGCGGCUCAGAUGAUACCUAUAUACCAUCUCCCACUUUCUGUGUCAGGAUUCCGGCCAUGGCUUAACUGGGCCAUGUGUUUCAAGGUCUCUCGCAAGAUUGCGAUCGAGGUGUUGAAUGAGGGUCUGUGGUUCCAUCUGAAGCCACACUAGAGAAAGGAUUCUCUGUGCAGCUCCUCCGUGGCAUUGUUGAUGGGACUUAUCUCAGUGAUGGCUGUUGGAUUGAGGGUCUCAGUUCUUACCAGCUGUUGGUUGCAGGUCACUCUCAGUCCCUUGCCACCUAGGCCUCUGCAACAAGACUUCUGGCUCCAUCAAAACAUGCCAGCUGAGAGGGCAAUGGCGAGAGUCUGCAGACAAGACAGAGUUACACAGCUUUGUAAAAGUGAAUUUUGGAAAUUACAACCCUUGUCCCAACCACUAGGUCCAGCCCACAUUCAGUUUCGCUGGGAGCUAGAUUGGAACCUGUGUGUCACAUAAGGUUUAAAGAAUCAUUCAAGGGCAGCUCGAAGAAGCCGUGAUUCUGUGAAAGCAUGGAAUGAUAAAGAAAUCUUAAAAAUAAGAUUUUUAAAAUUUAUUUAUUUUGACAGGCAGAGUUAGACAGUGAGAGAGAGAGACAGAGAGAAAGGUCUUCCUUCUGUUGGUUCACCCCCGAAAUGGCCGCUACGGCUGGUGUGCUGUGCUGAUCCGAAGCCAGGAGCCAGGUGCUUCCUCCUGGUCUCCCAUGCUGGUGUAGGGCCCAAGCACUUGGGCCAUCCUCCACUGCCUUCUUGGGCUACAGCAGAGAACUGGACUGGAAGAGGAGCAACUGGGACAGAAUCCGGCGCUCCAACUGGGACUAGAAACUGGGGUACCGGCGCCGCAGGUGGAGGAUUAGCCUAGUGAGCCACGGUGCCAGCCAAAAUCUUAUUUUUAAAAUGAGGUAUUCUCUGGCUAUAUUGAUACUUGACUGGUGUAGAGAUUUUUGGCAUCUACUCCUUGAUUUAUAUACCUGGUUAUGCCCUGGAAAAACUGCAAGUCUACAGGAAUUGUGAUUGCAAUCUUAGGUACUACUUCACGUAUUGUGUCCUGAAUCAUGAUGAAAUAUGAAGCCUCAACAGAAUUCCAAAGUCACAUUUAUGAUUGUUCUAUUCUAUUUCUGCCUUGCUGAAAUUUCUGUAGUCAUAAGUUCAAUUAGUAGUUUGCAUAGUCACUCAUUUUAAGAAUCAAGUAAUGCCAGAUAGCAAAACUCAAAAAUGAAUUAACUUUGAGGAACUAGACAAUGAAACUCAAAAAUGAUAAGAUUUACUUUUGAGGCCCUCUCCUCUGUACAGACCAGGAGUCCGCACCUGUGUCGUAUGGGGUGCAGGUGGGGUGUUUCAAUCUGCCUCCACCAAUGUGUUUCUCAAGAGAUAAAAAAUGAUUUUACAUUUCUUUCUUUUUUAAAAAAGAUUUAUUUAUUUGUUUUGAAAGAGUUAGAGAGCGAGAGAGAGAGAUCUUCCAUCUGCUGGUUCACUCCCCAGAUGGUUGCAACGGCUAGCACUGGGCCAGCCUGAAACCAGGAGUCAGGAGUCAGGAGUCAGGAGCAUCAUCUGGGUCUCCCACAUGGGUGUCAGGGGCCCAAACACCUGGGCCAUAUACUGUUUCUUUUCCCAGGCCAUUAGCAGGGAGGUGGACUUGAAGUGGAGCAACCACGACCCAAACUGUCACUUGUAUGGGAUGCUGGCGUUGCAGGUAGUGGCAUUACCUGCUUUGCCACAACGAAUGCUGGACCUGCAUUUCUUUUACUGUUUGAAAAACGAAGAGUACUUUGUGAGCUAUGAAAGUAAUCUAGAAUUAAGAUUGCAACAUCUAAACUAUUACUGGAGCACAGCCAUGCCUAUCUGUUCACAUAUUGUCUACUGUAGCCUGCGUGUUUGUAUCGUCCCAGAUUUAUGUGUUGAAGUCUAACCCCCAAUGUGAUCCUGCUUUGGGAGGCUGAUGAGGAUGGAGCCCUCAUGACUGAGAUCAGUGCUCUUAUCAAAGAGAACCUGGGAGCUCUUGCUUCUGUCCCUCCAUGUGAGGACACAGCAAGAGACAGUCAUCUCGGAACCAGGACAUGGAAUCUGCUGGUGUUGUGACGUGGACUGUUGCUUAUCAGUCUGUGGAAUUCUAGGCAGCCCACGUGGAGUAAGGAGCAGUGUGUGGCUGCUUUUGCUAAAAGGACAGAGUGAUUGCUGCAGAAAUCGUGUAGUCCACAAAACCUAAACUAUUUAUUUGAUCUGUUGAGAGAACGUGUGCCCACUUUUGCCUGGAAGAAGAUGAACAUACAAACAAGUGAUUGUUGCGCUGUGAUAAGUGACACAUGAGACUUAUACACGGGGAACAUGCAGAGCCCAGAAUGGGAGUUUGCAAGCUUUGCAGAGGGUUCCUGGAGGAUACACAGGAGUCUUCCCAGAAUGGGAGGAGAAAAGAGAGGAAGUCUAUUUCAAGGGCCCUUAAAUUGGCACCUGCCAACUCCUGAGAGUGAAAGGGUCUCCCUAUACCUGUGUCUAUGUAUGCAUAGGUAUCCCUAGGGAGAGGAUUCAUCUCUUUCCAUAGUUUUCAACAGCUUAAGAGCCACAAAGGUGCUACAGAGAGUCACACACUUACAGGGAUCAGCAGUGAGAUCCAUGGGAACACAAAGCAGAUGUCUGUGGGUGCACAGGAAAAUGACUCAGGACCUGGAUGGAGCGGAGGUCCGAGGCUGGCUCCGUAUAGCACAAGGAUACUGCACAGAAUCCAGUUAAGCAGACUUGGUCUUUACUCUCCAGCAGACUCUCCAUCAGAGGCAUCUCAUGAAUAACAGGUAAGAGGAACUCAGCCAGGGCGGGUGAAGCUGCCGUCUGCGACGCCUGCAUCCCAUACUGACUGGUUCAAGUUCCAGCUCCCAUCCAGCUCCCUGCUAAUGCACUUGGGAAGGCAUUCGAGUAUGGUCCGUAUGAUUGGGACCCUGCCACCCACGUGGGAGACCUGGAUGGAGCUCUGGGCUCCUGGCUUUAGCCUGGCUCAGCCCUGGCUGCUGUGGUCAUCUGGAGAAUGAGCCUGUGAAUGGAAAAUUUAUCUUCUCUCUCUCUCUGUCACUGCCUUUCAAAUAAAUAAAUAGAUAUUAAAAGAAAAAAGGAGCAGAAAGCAGUCAAAUCCAGAGAGGUGGUGGGCUGGCAAUUCAUCUUGUGAAGGCUGGAACUCUUGGCCAGAUGACCAAGUCUCUAAUCAGUCCUUGAUCAAAUCCCAUUCCUUAUCCCCUUCCAACUAAGACACAGCAUUGACUGAGUCUGGCCAAACAGCCAGAGGCCGGCACACAACCCAGCGCCCUCCUUGAGACCCCUGUCUUUGUACUUGAUGUACUGUGGAGCAGAAAACAACACAGAUCCCCCAGCAGUGGGCAAGCCAGAUCCUGGGACUGGGAAAAGGAGGCUCUGGACUUUAGGUGUGUGGGGAAGUGGGGCAGGGAGGUAAUGGUUUUCACUGGAUUCCCUUUUAUAUUUUAUUUAGAUUAAGUUCUGCUCAGCAGGGCGAUUUCUUAAUGAGAGUAGCCCAGCCAGGCAGACCUGUAGCUCAGCCCCCUGUGCUGCCUUCUAGGGUUUCACGAGGGACCUUGUCCUGUCUUAUUUCCUGAGCUCCAGUAUUUGAAUAGUAUGCAGUGGAUUUCAAUGGGAGGAAAAGACAUGUAAUUUAAUCAUCUUUAUUAGAUUUGGCCGGUGGAUGGGGACAGGAGGAGGAAGGAGGAGAGACGUGGGUUCCCUCUUUGUUAAUUUUGUUUCUUUUUCUCUAACUUUUCUUCCAGUGGUCAAAACAAAGGAGAAUCAAUGACCCCCAAAUCUUCUUCCUUGUCUGUGUUUUUUUUUUUUUUAAACAAAAGAGCUAAAUGAGAACAUUAAGCCCGAAAGGGACUUGUGUUCAUUGCAUAUAUGUGUGCAAAUUCUGCGAUUCCUCCCUCAGUGACCUGGGUUCUGAGAGUGAGUGUCCUGCAGCUUUUCUGUCCCCUCCAUCACUCCAGAAGUUGUAGACUUAGCUCAGCAAAGCCUCAAAAACAGAGGAAAGCGAAGCACAAAUGAUCCGUGGUGCAUAUUUUUAAAGCCAGGCUAUGCAUUGGCAUCAUUUCUCCCACCCCUCAGGGGAGAAAAACAACCUGUAGAAGCAGAGAAAGAUGAGGAACCAGUGCAGGAUCCCAGAGAGAGAGAGAGGAGGGAAGGUUUGUCCUGUUGCUGUCCUGGGAAUGUCUGUCCAGGGAUGGGAUGGGAGGCUCAGAGGGAUGUAUAAGAGCUAACAGUCCCCAGGAUGUUUCGGGGGAAAUCUACUGGGGAUUUUCAAGAACGAAAUCAGCAUGGCUCAUCCAAAAGAAAAGGAAAAGAAAGAAUUGUGUGCAGAGUCUCCCAGUUGUCCUGCUGAGUGCAUGUGUGUGCACAUAUGUACACACGUGCUGUGCACGUAUGUACACACAUGUACAUGCAGACAUGCACACACACACACAUACCCUGCAGCCUGUAAUCCCCCUCACGCCCCUAUCCUGUUGAUCUUUCCUCACUUAAAAAUUAUCGGCAAAGAAUUUAUUCAUUUGGGAAGGUUCCAGGCACUACAUUUAUGCUCCGUUCAAAUGAAAUGGGAUCCAGACCUUUCAAGCCGUGCUGUUUCACAGAUAAAACACCAAGGCAGAACCUCGUUAUCUGGAGACGUGGCCCUUUCUUUUUCCUUCUUUUUGCCUUUUGUUUCUCAGCAACUUAACGCUUGUUUGGAACGUCUCAGAACAGGGGCAGGACAUUUUUCUCAGCACCUAUUUCAGGAGGGUUUUUGGUUCAGAAUAACAAAUUUGCCUCUAAAUAGAUGAAAGAGUUCUCAAAAAGCUAAGAAAGACACUUCUAGUAAUGGACCCUAUAGGCUGAUCUCAAUCCACUCAUUGUUAAAAAUGCUUGGUCUAAUAGUCUCAUUUGUGUGCCAAGUAUCUUUAUUAAAUCAUUAUAUUAACACAGGAAAAAAACAUCCCAUUACAAUGAGUUUCUCUGUAGGAUCAAAAGUUGUCCAUGGUUUUGCUGAUGGCCUUCUUACUCUGAAAUGUGAAAAGUGGAGGCUAAAUCUCUCAAAAGUCAUCGCACUAUGGCUGGAGGGGUAAGCGUGUCCUGUGCAGGCAAAGGCUGAAUUUUUCCGAAGGUCACAGUCUCUAGACAAAAAGAAAACCGUGACAAAGAAGUCCUUUGAUCCACCCAUGGAAAUGAAUUCUUGGCAACACUGUCCUAGGAGUUCACCUAUAGAACCACAAUGAGGCUGUGAUGUCUGUGUUGACUUAAAGAAAACCAGGGGCCAAUUCCAAGGCAACUGGCGUUGGUGAAUCCAGGGUUGUGGGCGGUAAAAACACUUAAAAAAGUCAGGAGAAGCACACUUUGGUGUGUUUGUAUAUUAGAUUUUGAACCUGAACUAAACACACGCACACACACGCACACAUGUAUGCACACGCACAUACACACAACCACACGUUUUGAUUGUGAAAUCAAUCCAUGCUCAUUAGAGAAGGAAACAUCACUCCAGACCCCACCACUGAGAAAGCACAUUUAUUCUGGCCUCAUGAAGUUGCUCUCUGCCUUCACAUUGAAGAGAGUUUGAAGUUCUGGGUUAGAGUGUGGUCUGGAGGCGUGGGUCCUGAGGGACACCACGCAGAAGUCGAAAGAGAGGCAAUAGAACUCAGAGGGUCCAGCACUGUGGCUGUUACAGAGACCUGGGGGACCGGGUCGGUCAGGCGAGGGUGGUCACUCAGAGGGUCCGAAUGGAGCUUUGGACCCGUGUGACUCUGCAAGACAAGAUCUUGGGUAGCGCCAACACGUAGCAGCAGAUUUGGGAGGGAUGUGGCUGACAAUGGGGAGGUGAAGGGGAGCAUGUCAAAUGCUCAGCCUUAUAGACACAUUGGAAAUCCUUUGGCCCAAGUCCUUGGGUGCCCCCCGCACCCACGUGGGAGACCUGGAUGAAGCUCCAGACUCCAGGUUUUGUCCUGGCCCAGCCCCAGCUGUUGUGGCCAUUUGUGGAGUGAACCAACAGAUGGAAGAUCUCUCUCUCUCUCUCUCUCUCUCUGUCUCUCCCUCUUUCUCUCUGCAACUCUUUCAAAUAUAUAAAUAAAUCUGAAAAAAAAGCUAAGAAAAUUCUUCAGCUUUGCAAGGAUUAUUGAUCUAAAUUGCCUUACUUGCUUGUUCCAGAUGCCUGAGCACCUGGCGUGGUUACUGAGUACCUGCCACGUUAAAAUUAAACAUUUGUGAAUCCAGACUGAUUUUUCUCUUGUUGUUUUGAUUGUACUUGUGAUGCACUCACAGCCUGAUGGUCUUUGAGGUCUGGCUUAGAUUAGCCCCUGGCUGAGAGACCCACACUAAUUUCAUGAGUGAAAUUAUGCCUGCCUCUGAUUGGGUUCUGCUCCUCACAGGGGCUUUUUCUGAGUUGGUUUACUCCAAUAGAGGCAAUAGUUGUGAUGAGCCUUCUAUA